rnacentral:rRNA from 1 species
UUAAGCGACUAAGCGUACACGGUGGAUGCCCUGGCAGUCAGAGGCGAUGAAGGGCGUGCUAAUCUGCGAUAAGCGCCGGUAAGGUGAUAUGAACCGUUAUAACCGGCGAUACCCGAAUGGGGAAACCCAGUGUGAUUCGUCACACUAUCAUUAACUGAAUCCAUAGGUUAAUGAGGCGAACCGGGGGAACUGAAACAUCUAAGUACCCCGAGGAAAAGAAAUCAACCGAGAUUCCCCCAGUAGCGGCGAGCGAACGGGGAGGAGCCCAGAGCCUGAAUCAGCAUGUGUGUUAGUGGAAGCGUCUGGAAAGGCGCGCGAUACAGGGUGACAGCCCCGUACACAAAAGCGCAUGUGCUGUGAGCUCGAUGAGUAGGGCGGGACACGUGGUAUCCUGUCUGAAUAUGGGGGGACCAUCCUCCAAGGCUAAAUACUCCUGACUGACCGAUAGUGAACCAGUACCGUGAGGGAAAGGCGAAAAGAACCCCGGCGAGGGGAGUGAAAAAGAACCUGAAACCGUGUACGUACAAGCAGUGGGAGCACCCUUCGGGGUGUGACUGCGUACCUUUUGUAUAAUGGGUCAGCGACUUAUAUUCUGUAGCAAGGUUAACCGUAUAGGGGAGCCGGAGGGAAACCGAGUCUUAACCGGGCGUUAAGUUGCAGGGUAUAGACCCGAAACCCGGUGAUCUAGCCAUGGGCAGGUUGAAGGUUGGGUAACACUAACUGGAGGACCGAACCGACUAAUGUUGAAAAAUUAGCGGAUGACCUGUGGCUGGGGGUGAAAGGCCAAUCAAACCGGGAGAUAGCUGGUUCUCCCCGAAAGCUAUUUAGGUAGCGCCUCGUGAAUUCAUCUCCGGGGGUAGAGCACUGUUUCGGCUAGGGGGCCAUCCCGGCUUACCAACCCGAUGCAAACUGCGAAUACCGGAGAAUGUUAUCACGGGAGACACACGGCGGGUGCUAACGUCCGUCGUGAAGAGGGAAACAACCCAGACCGCCAGCUAAGGUCCCAAAGUCAUGGUUAAGUGGGAAACGAUGUGGGAAGGCCCAGACAGCCAGGAUGUUGGCUUAGAAGCAGCCAUCAUUUAAAGAAAGCGUAAUAGCUCACUGGUCGAGUCGGCCUGCGCGGAAGAUGUAACGGGGCUAAACCAUGCACCGAAGCUGCGGCAGCGAACGUAUCACCCAAGACAACUUUACGGAGUUGACGAUUGACGGAGCGAAGCGACGUCAAAGCGUUCAUUAAAGUCGAGUUGGCUUAGGGAUACGUUCGUUGGGUAGGGGAGCGUUCUGUAAGCCUGUGAAGGUGUGUCGUGAGGCAUGCUGGAGGUAUCAGAAGUGCGAAUGCUGACAUAAGUAACGAUAAAGCGGGUGAAAAGCCCGCUCGCCGGAAGACCAAGGGUUCCUGUCCAACGUUAAUCGGGGCAGGGUGAGUCGACCCCUAAGGCGAGGCCGAAAGGCGUAGUCGAUGGGAAACGGGUUAAUAUUCCCGUACUUGGUGUUACUGCGAAGGGGGGACGGAGAAGGCUAUGUUGGCCGGGCGACGGUUGUCCCGGUUUAAGCGUGUAGGUGUGUGUUCCAGGUAAAUCCGGUUCACUUUAACACUGAGGCGUGACGACGAGGCACUACGGUGCUGAAGCAACAAAUGCCCUGCUUCCAGGAAAAGCCUCUAAGCAUCAGGUAACACGAAAUCGUACCCCAAACCGACACAGGUGGUCAGGUAGAGAAUACCAAGGCGCUUGAGAGAACUCGGGUGAAGGAACUAGGCAAAAUGGUGCCGUAACUUCGGGAGAAGGCACGCUGACACGUAGGUGAAGUGAUUUACUCAUGGAGCUGAAGUCAGUCGAAGAUACCAGCUGGCUGCAACUGUUUAUUAAAAACACAGCACUGUGCAAACACGAAAGUGGACGUAUACGGUGUGACGCCUGCCCGGUGCCGGAAGGUUAAUUGAUGGGGUCAGCGCAAGCGAAGCUCCUGAUCGAAGCCCCGGUAAACGGCGGCCGUAACUAUAACGGUCCUAAGGUAGCGAAAUUCCUUGUCGGGUAAGUUCCGACCUGCACGAAUGGCGUAAUGAUGGCCAGGCUGUCUCCACCCGAGACUCAGUGAAAUUGAACUCGCUGUGAAGAUGCAGUGUACCCGCGGCAAGACGGAAAGACCCCGUGAACCUUUACUAUAGCUUGACACUGAACAUUGAGCCUUGAUGUGUAGGAUAGGUGGGAGGCUUUGAAGUGUGGACGCCAGUCUGCAUGGAGCCGACCUUGAAAUACCACCCUUUAAUGUUUGAUGUUCUAACGUGGACCCGUAANAAUGGGGAAACCCAGUGUGAUUCGUCACACUAUCAUUAACUGAAUCCA